rnacentral:rRNA from 1 species
GGGUUGUGAGGUUAAGCGACUAAGCGUACACGGUGGAUGCCCUGGCAGUCAGAGGCGAUGAAGGACGUGCUAAUCUGCGAUAAGCGUCGGUAAGGUGAUAUGAACCGUUAUAACCGGCGAUUUCCGAAUGGGGAAACCCAGUGUGUUUCGACACACUAUCAUUAACUGAAUCCAUAGGUUAAUGAGGCGAACCGGGGGAACUGAAACAUCUAAGUACCCCGAGGAAAAGAAAUCAACCGAGAUUCCCCCAGUAGCGGCGAGCGAACGGGGAGCAGCCCAGAGCCUGAAUCAGUAUGUGUGUUAGUGGAAGCGUCUGGAAAGGCGCGCGAUACAGGGUGACAGCCCCGUACACAAAAAUGCACAUGCUGUGAGCUCGAUGAGUAGGGCGGGACACGUGGUAUCCUGUCUGAAUAUGGGGGGACCAUCCUCCAAGGCUAAAUACUCCUGACUGACCGAUAGUGAACCAGUACCGUGAGGGAAAGGCGAAAAGAACCCCGGCGAGGGGAGUGAAAAAGAACCUGAAACCGUGUACGUACAAGCAGUGGGAGCACAGAGCAAUCUGUGUGACUGCGUACCUUUUGUAUAAUGGGUCAGCGACUUAUAUUCUGUAGCAAGGUUAACCGAAUAGGGGAGCCGAAGGGAAACCGAGUCUUAACUGGGCGUUAAGUUGCAGGGUAUAGACCCGAAACCCGGUGAUCUAGCCAUGGGCAGGUUGAAGGUUGGGUAACACUAACUGGAGGACCGAACCGACUAAUGUUGAAAAAUUAGCGGAUGACUUGUGGCUGGGGGUGAAAGGCCAAUCAAACCGGGAGAUAGCUGGUUCUCCCCGAAAGCUAUUUAGGUAGCGCCUCGUGAAUUCAUCUCCGGGGGUAGAGCACUGUUUCGGCAAGGGGGUCAUCCCGACUUACCAACCCGAUGCAAACUGCGAAUACCGGAGAAUGUUAUCACGGGAGACACACGGCGGGUGCUAACGUCCGUCGUGAAGAGGGAAACAACCCAGACCGCCAGCUAAGGUCCCAAAGUCAUGGUUAAGUGGGAAACGAUGUGGGAAGGCCCAGACAGCCAGGAUGUUGGCUUAGAAGCAGCCAUCAUUUAAAGAAAGCGUAAUAGCUCACUGGUCGAGUCGGCCUGCGCGGAAGAUGUAACGGGGCUAAACCAUGCACCGAAGCUGCGGCAGCGACGCUGAUGCGUUGUUGGGUAGGGGAGCGUUCUGUAAGCCUGCGAAGGUGUGCUGUGAGGCAUGCUGGAGGUAUCAGAAGUGCGAAUGCUGACAUAAGUAACGAUAAAGCGGGUGAAAAGCCCGCUCGCCGGAAGACCAAGGGUUCCUGUCCAACGUUAAUCGGGGCAGGGUGAGUCGACCCCUAAGGCGAGGCCGAAAGGCGUAGUCGAUGGGAAACAGGUUAAUAUUCCUGUACUUGGUGUUACUGCGAAGGGGGGACGGAGAAGGCUAUGUUGGCCGGGCGACGGUUGUCCCGGUUUAAGCGUGUAGGCUGGUUUUCCAGGCAAAUCCGGAAAAUCAAGGCUGAGGCGUGAUGACGAGGCACUACGGUGCUGAAGCAACAAAUGCCCUGCUUCCAGGAAAAGCCUCUAAGCAUCAGGUAACAUCAAAUCGUACCCCAAACCGACACAGGUGGUCAGGUAGAGAAUACCAAGGCGCUUGAGAGAACUCGGGUGAAGGAACUAGGCAAAAUGGUGCCGUAACUUCGGGAGAAGGCACGCUGAUAUGUAGGUGAAGUCCCUCGCGGAUGGAGCUGAAAUCAGUCGAAGAUACCAGCUGGCUGCAACUGUUUAUUAAAAACACAGCACUGUGCAAACACGAAAGUGGACGUAUACGGUGUGACGCCUGCCCGGUGCCGGAAGGUUAAUUGAUGGGGUUAGCGCAAGCGAAGCUCUUGAUCGAAGCCCCGGUAAACGGCGGCCGUAACUAUAACGGUCCUAAGGUAGCGAAAUUCCUUGUCGGGUAAGUUCCGACCUGCACGAAUGGCGUAAUGAUGGCCAGGCUGUCUCCACCCGAGACUCAGUGAAAUUGAACUCGCUGUGAAGAUGCAGUGUACCCGCGGCAAGACGGAAAGACCCCGUGAACCUUUACUAUAGCUUGACACUGAACAUUGAGCCUUGAUGUGUAGGAUAGGUGGGAGGCUUUGAAGUGUGGACGCCAGUCUGCAUGGAGCCGACCUUGAAAUACCACCCUUUAAUGUUUGAUGUUCUAACGUUGACCCGUAAUCCGGGUUGCGGACAGUGUCUGGUGGGUAGUUUGACUGGGGCGGUCUCCUCCUAAAGAGUAACGGAGGAGCACGAAGGUUGGCUAAUCCUGGUCGGACAUCAGGAGGUUAGUGCAAUGGCAUAAGCCAGCUUGACUGCGAGCGUGACGGCGCGAGCAGGUGCGAAAGCAGGUCAUAGUGAUCCGGUGGUUCUGAAUGGAAGGGCCAUCGCUCAACGGAUAAAAGGUACUCCGGGGAUAACAGGCUGAUACCGCCCAAGAGUUCAUAUCGACGGCGGUGUUUGGCACCUCGAUGUCGGCUCAUCACAUCCUGGGGCUGAAGUAGGUCCCAAGGGUAUGGCUGUUCGCCAUUUAAAGUGGUACGCGAGCUGGGUUUAGAACGUCGUGAGACAGUUCGGUCCCUAUCUGCCGUGGGCGCUGGAGAACUGAGGGGGGCUGCUCCUAGUACGAGAGGACCGGAGUGGACGCAUCACUGGUGUUCGGGUUGUCAUGCCAAUGGCACUGCCCGGUAGCUAAAUGCGGAAGAGAUAAGUGCUGAAAGCAUCUAAGCACGAAACUUGCCCCGAGAUGAGUUCUCCCUGACUCCUUGAGAGUCCUGAAGGAACGUUGAAGACGACGACGUUGAUAGGCCGGGUGUGUAAGCGCAGCGAUGCGUUGAGCUAACCGGUACUAAUGAACCGUGAGGCUUAACCUUACAACGCCGAAGGUGUUU